rnacentral:tRNA from 1 species
UGUUCUAUGGCCGAACUGGUAAAGGCAUUGCCGAUCAUGGCAAGGUUGCGAGUUCGAGUCCCGCUGGAACGG